rnacentral:rRNA from 1 species
CAAAGGCUUGGUCCUGACUUUACUAUCAACUUUAGACAAACUUACACAUGCAAGUAUCCGCACCCCUGUGAGAAUGCCCCACAGUCCCCCGUCCGGGAACAAGGAACUGGUAUCAGGCACAUCAUUAAGCCCAUGACACCUUGCUUAGCCACACCCUCAAGGGAACUCAGCAGUGAUAAACAUUAAGCCAUAAGUGAAAACUUGACUUAGUUAAAGCUAAGAGGGCCGGUAAAACUCGUGCCAGCCACCGCGGUUAUACGAGAGGCCCAAGUUGAUGGACACCGGCGUAAAGAGUGGUUAAGUUAAACCUCAUACUAAAGCCAAACAUCUUCAAGACUGUUAUACGCAACCGAAGGCAGGAAGUUCAACCACGAAAGUGGCUUUAUUUAGUCUGAACCCACGAAAGCUACGGAACAAACUAGGAUUAGAUACCC